rnacentral:rRNA from 1 species
AUUGAACGCUGGCGGCAGGCCUAACACAUGCAAGUCGAACGGAGCGGCGGACGGGUGCGUAAUGCCUAGGAAUCUGCAUGGUCGUGGUGGAUAACGUCCGGAAACGGGCGCUAAUACCGCAUACUAUCAGAUGAGCCUAGGUCGGAUUAGCUAGUUGGUGGGGUAAAGGCCUACCAAGGCGACGAUCCGUAACUGGUCUGAGAGGAUGAUCAGUCACACGGGAACUGAGAAACGGUCAAGACUCCUACGGGAGGAAGAAGUGGGGAAUAUUGGACAAUGGGCGAAAGCAUGAGACAGCCAUGCCGCGUGUGUGAAGAAGGUCUUCGGAUUGUAAAGCACUUUAAGUUGGGAGGCGUUACCAACAGAAUAAGCACCGGAUAACUUCGUGCGAGCAGCAGCGGUAAUUC